AUAUAUUUUCUCGCAUGAGUAACAUGUUAAAAAAAUCCCUAAUGUCUAAUGAUAUAUUCUCCUCCUUGUCGGGAGAGGAAUAAAAAAAAAGAAAAAAAUAAAAUAAUCGCGGCAGCAAAAUGCCAUCUACUUAAGCCUCCAUGAUUCCUUUCAUUACCCAAACGACGACGACGACGACUAGGACGAGAACAAGGCAAAACAAAGAAAACGACACACUCUUUU
rnacentral:misc_RNA from 1 species